rfam:Rattus norvegicus chromosome 14, whole genome shotgun sequence.
GGGGAUUUAGCUCAGUGGUAGAGCGCUUGCCUAGCAAGCACAAGGCCCUGGGUUCAGUCCUCA